UCUGACCUAUCUUUUGCAUAAAUAAAUGCCACAGAUUUAUGGGUAUUGAUUCUGUAGCCUGCUACUUUACUGAAUGUAUUGAUGAUUUCCAGUAGUUUCUUGGCAAAAUUCCUGGGGUCUUCUAGGUAUAUCAAAAUUCCGUCUGCUAAUAAUGAGAGUUUAACUUCAUCCUUUCCAAUUUGUAUUUCUUUGAUUAUCUCUUUCUUGUCUGACUGCUAUGGCAAGGAUUUCUAGGACUAUGUCAGAAAAAAAAAAAUAGAGUGGGCACCCUUGUCUAGUUCCCAAUUUUAGGAGAAAAGCUUUCAAUUUUUCCCCAUUGAUAAUGACGUUAGCUGUGGGUUUAUCAUAUAUAACCUUUAUUAUAUUAAGGAAAUUUCCUCCCACUCCCAGUUUCUAGAGGGCCUUUAUCAUAAAUGGGUGUUGUACCUUAUCGAAUGCCUUUUCUGCAUCGAUUGAUAGAAUCGUGAUUUUUAUCUUUCCUUUUGUUGAUACAGUGGAUUAUGUUUAUUGUCUUACAGAUAUUAAACUAUACCUGUUUCCCAGGGAUGAAUCUCACUUGAUUUUGGUGGAUUAUUCUCUUAAUAUAUUGUUGUAUUUGAUUAGCCAAGAUUUUGUUGAUUAUCUUUGCAUUGGUAUUUAUCAGGGACAUAGGUCUAUGGUUUUUUUGUUGUUUUUUUCUCUUUUUGGUGGGGUCCUUUCCUGCUUUGGGGAUCAGGGCAAUGUUAGCAUCAUAGAAUGUAUUUAGGAGUGUUCCCUCUUCUAUUUCAUGGAAGAGUUUGAGGAGAAUGGGUGUUAGUUAUUCUUUGAAUAUUUUAUAAAAUUCAUUAGAAUAGCCAUCAGGACCUGGGAUUUUGUUCUUGGGUAGGCUUUUGAUUACUGUUUCAAUUUCUUUACUACUAGUGAUUGACCUGUUAAGUUUAUCUGCUUCCUCUUGUGUCAAGGUUGGUAGUGGGUAUAACUCUAGGAAUGUGCCCAUUUCUUCUAAGUUGUCAAAUUUGGGUUCCAUACAGGUGUCCAUAAUAUUCCUGCAUAAUCUUCUGAAUCUCUGCCUCAUCUGUUGUAAUAUCUCCUCUUUCAUUUUUGAGUGAUUUUACCAUAGAUUUCUCGAUUUUUCUCUUGGUGAGUGUAGCUAGUGGCUUAUCUAUUUUAUUUAUCCUUUCAAAGAACCAGCUUUUGGUUUCGUUAAUCUUCCUAAUGGUCUUCUUGUUUUCUAUUUCAUUGAUUUCUGCUCUGUUUUUGACUAUUUCCUGUCUCCUGCUGACUAUGGUUUACUAGUGAUUUCUCCUGUUUAUUAAUGUUUGCUAUAAACUCCCCCAGCACUGCUUUUUCUGCAUCCUAUAGGGUAUGGUAACUGGUUUCUUAAUUUACAUUGGUACCAAGAUAAUUCUUAAUUUCUUUUUUGAUCUCUUAAAUGACGCAUUUAUUGUUAAGUAGCAUAUUUUUUAGUCUCCAGGCUUUGGGGAAAUUUCUUUUUCUUUUUUGGUUGAUUUCUAGUUUCAUGCCUUCAUGGAUGCAUUUUAUAAUUUUAAUAUUUACAUGUCUACUUUGACUGUCUUUGUGGUCCACCAUAUGGUCAAUGCUUGUAAAUGUUCCAUGUGUACUUUGUACUUGAAAAGAAUGUAUAUUCAUUACUUUCGGGAUGGAAAGCUCUGUAUAUAUCUAUUAGGUCCAUUUCAUUUAUGGUUUCACUUAAAUUCACUAUUUCUCUGUUGAUUUUUUGUCCAGAUGUUCUGUCUCUUCCUGUGAGUGGUGUGUUGAAAUCCCCUACUAUUAUUGUGUUGCUAUCAAUGUCUCCCUUGAAUUCAGUCUCUUCUUUGGUGAAGAUUCUGUCCAUAGAGGCCGGGUAAUGGUGCACCUGUUUAAGCUCACAUGUUACCAAGAGCAAGGACCCAGGUCUGAGCCUCCAGUUCCCACCCGCAGGGGGAAAGUUUCACGAGUGGUGAAGCAGUGCUGCAGGUAUCUCUCUGUCUCUUUCCCUCUCUGUUACUCCCUUCCCUUUCAAAUUCUGGCUGUUUCUAUCCAGUAGAUAAAUACAGAUAAUUUUUUUAAAAAUAUUUAGUCCAUAUCCUCUCCCCAUAAGUUAUUUGCUUUUGUUGUUGUUUAGUGUAAAGGCAGCUGAAGUGUAGUAAUAGAGAGAAAAGAGGUCAAGAGGAUCAAAUAUUCCUAUCUGAUAAGUAAGUUGGUUUGCC